UACGGAGGGUGCAAGCGUUAAUCGGAUUUAUUGGGCGUAAAGAGCACGUAGGCGGUGUGGAAAGUUAGAUGUGAAAUCCCGGGGCUCAACUCCGGACCCGCAUCUAAAACUCCCAUUCUAGAGGAUGGACGGAGAAAAGGGAAUUCCACGUGUAGCGGUGAAAUGCGUAGAUAUGUGGAAGAACACCAGUGGCGAAGGCGCUUUUCUAGUUUAUUCCUGACGCUGAGGUGCGAAAGCAAGGGGAG
rnacentral:rRNA from 1 species